rnacentral:rRNA from 1 species
GUUGGCGGCGUGCUUAACACAUGCAAGUCGAACGGAAAGGCCCUGCUUUUGUGGGGUGCUCGAGUGGCGAACGGGUGAGUAACACGUGAGUAACCUGCCCUUGACUUUGGGAUAACUUCAGGAAACUGGGGCUAAUACCGGAUAGGAGCUCCUGCUGCAUGGUGGGGGUUGGAAAGUUUCGGCGGUUGGGGAUGGACUCGCGGCUUAUCAGCUUGUUGGUGGGGUAGUGGCUUACCAAGGCUUUGACGGGUAGCCGGCCUGAGAGGGUGACCGGCCACAUUGGGACUGAGAUACGGCCCAGACUCCUACGGGAGGCAGCAGUGGGGAAUAUUGCACAAUGGGCGGAAGCCUGAUGCAGCAACGCCGCGUGCGGGAUGACGGCCUUCGGGUUGUAAACCGCUUUCGCCUGUGACGAAGCGUGAGUGACGGUAAUGGGUAAAGAAGCACCGGCUAACUACGUGCCAGCAGCCGCGGUGAUACGUAGGGUGCGAGCGUUGUCCGGAUUUAUUGGGCGUAAAGGGCUCGUAGGUGGUUGAUCGCGUCGGAAGUGUAAUCUUGGGGCUUAACCCUGAGCGUGCUUUCGAUACGGGUUGACUUGAGGAAGGUAGGGGAGAAUGGAAUUCCUGGUGGAGCGGUGGAAUGCGCAGAUAUCAGGAGGAACACCAGUGGCGAAGGCGGUUCUCUGGGCCUUUCCUGACGCUGAGGAGCGAAAGCGUGGGGAGCGAACAGGCUUAGAUACCCUGGUAGUCCACGCUGUAAACGGUGGGUACUAGGUGUGGGGUCCAUUCCACGGGUUCCGUGCCGUAGCUAACGCUUUAAGUACCCCGCCUGGGGAGUACGGCCGCAAGGCUAAAACUCAAAGGAAUUGACGGGGCCCCGCACAAGCGGCGGAGCAUGCGGAUUAAUUCGAUGCAACGCGUAGAACCUUACCUGGGUUUGACAUGGAUCGGGAGUGCUCAGAGAUGGGUGUGCCUCUUUUGGGGUCGGUUCACAGGUGGUGCAUGGCUGUCGUCAGCUCGUGUCGUGAGAUGUUGGGUUAAGUCCCGCAACGAGCGCAACCCUUGUUCACUGUUGCCAGCACGUUAUGGUGGGGACUCAGUGGAGACCGCCGGGGUCAACUCGGAGGAAGGUGGGGAUGACGUCAAGUCAUCAUGCCCCUUAUGUCCAGGGCUUCACGCAUGCUACAAUGGCUGGUACAGAGAGUGGCGAGCCUGUGAGGGUGAGCGAAUCUCGGAAAGCCGGUCUCAGUUCGGAUUGGGGUCUGCAACUCGACCUCAUGAAGUCGGAGUCGCUAGUAAUCGCAGAUCAGCAACGCUGCGGUGAAUACGUUCCCGGGGCUUGUACACACCGCCCGUCAAGUCAUGAAAGUUGGUAACACCCGAAGCCGGUGGCCUAACCGUUGUGGGGGAGCCGUCGAAGGUGGGACUGGUGAUUAG